rnacentral:rRNA from 1 species
UACGGGGGGGAGCAAGCGUUGUUCGGAUUUACUGGGCGUAAAGGGCGCGUAGGCGGCCAGCACAAGUCAGUUGUGAAAUCUCCGAGCUUAACUCGGAACGGUCAACUGAUACUGUGCGGCUAGAGUGCGGAAGGGGCAACUGGAAUUCUCGGUGUAGCGGUGAAAUGCGUAGAUAUCGAGAGGAACACCUGCGGCGAAGGCGGGUCUCUGGGCCGUAACUGGACGCUGAGGAGCGAAAGCGUGGGGAGCGAACAGG